rnacentral:lncRNA from 1 species
CUCACAGGGCACGAAAAGCCAAUUGGAGAGGGAGCAGAAUCCUAUCAAUAUCAAAGCAAGGGACCCCACCCACCCAACAAAAAGACCUCAUACCUGUAUUUGAUAAGAAGGGAGAGGAAAGGAGCAAGGUGAAAGAACUUUGGCCUAGAAAUCCUAUGAAAUAGCCUUAAGACUCCCCUCUAGGUCACAUCUUGAUGUUGGCCAAGCCAUGUCCCUUCUCUGGGCCUGACUAGGCCAUCACCAGUGAGGGUACCGGUGACAUCUGGGGAAUUUGACCCUAGAUCUUUAUGAUGACAUAGAUAAGUUUUCUCCCUCUACCUCGUUCACCAUGGCAUCAAAACAGUGAACCAUUCCAAGCUAGUGUUUCUGAAAAUAUGACCUUCAAAAUUGAGAAUGUCUCAAGAGUCAGGCAUUUUGUGCAAACAGAAAAGGAAGGUGAAGUACCAUAGUAAAGAUUAGCUUUGCUCCACGUGAGGCAGAAAACUGUGUUUCUAGUCAGCUGAUGGGAGUCAGGAGAAAGGGGAGAAGAAAGACUGGCUGCAGGAAGAAAGGGAGGAGAAGAGAAGUAAAUAAAAGAGGGAAGAGAGGGAUGGAGGCAGAAGAGGGACAGUGGCUUGGAGUGAGGAGAAGUGAAGUGGUUCACUAGAAGAGAACCAAAAAGACAGAGGAAAGAGGGAAGUGAAAAUGGCCUCGCCCUCAGCUUCUGCUUCUGGGGCCCUCUGCCUCCAGCCUCCCCGCUCACCCAGCUCUACUCUGGGCCAAGAGCAGCUGGGGUCCCUCCUUCCAUGGUGCCAGGUGAGGGACAGUGCUCUGCAGGCACCUGGGGGCAGUUUGGAGCCUAAUCCUGGCUGGGAUCCUGGGACUGUGGCACGGGGACCCUCCUGCUCCUUGAACACCAUUCGGGCCUAGCCUCCACUCCAGACACUUUCCAUGCAACUUGACCAGAACAAAUCCACACCUGUCACCCACCACCAGGAGCUUCCACCCUUCGAUUCCCCUCCUGGGAACUUCACAUAGGCCUGAUAUGCUUUCUCUGCACCAAAGCCUCCUCUUAGGUGGCUCAGUUAGCACCAGGACUCAGCUGUGCCGCUC